rnacentral:rRNA from 1 species
GAUGAACGCUGGCGGUGUGCCUAAUACAUGCAAGUCGAGCGAACAGACGAGGAGCUUACUCCUCUGACGUUAGCGGCGGACGGGUGAGUAACACGUGGAUAACCUACCUAUAAGACUGGGAUAACUUCGGGAAACCGGAGCUAAUACCGGAUAACAUGUUGAACCGCAUGGUUCAACAGUGAAAGACGGUCUUGCUGUCACUUAUAGAUGGAUCCGCGUCGCAUUAGCUAGUUGGUAAGGUAACGGCUUACCAGGGCAACGAUGCGUAGCCGACCUGAGAGGGUGAUCGGCCACACUGGAACUGAGACACGGUCCAGACUCCUACGGGAGGCAGCAGUAGGGAAUCUUCCGCAAUGGGCGAAAGCCUGACGGAGCAACGCCGCGCGAGUGAAGAAGGUCUUCGGAUCGUAAAACUCUGUUAUUAGGGAAGAACAAAUGUGUAAGUAACUAUGCACGUCUUGACGGUACCUAAUCAGAAAGCCACGGCUAACUACGUG